rnacentral:lncRNA from 1 species
UCAGAGGGGAGCUGGAAGGGAAGCGUUGGGAUAAUAUUAGGGUCCACAGAUUUUUGAGAUCAUUAACUAUAUGGAAGAUAGCAAUUAAGGAGUGAAAGGGGAAAGGAAUGAUGAUGAAAGAGGAGAAGAUGUAGAAAUAAGGGCAGAAGUGUAUGCGGUAUGGGUGGAAGGCACUAACUGCUUUACAAUAGUCAGACUGACUUACUCAGCAACCCUAAAACUCAAUGUAACGACAUAAAAACAAAAGCCAAAGCACCAGGAGACACACAUGCUCAAGCGCGCAAUCAAGUCUUAGUGAAUGAGGGAUACCUGCCGAAUACUCACGGAGUGGACCCUUGGCACAGCUGUGCUGAGUUGAGAGGCGUGGUUCUCAGAUCCUCUGGCUCCAGCAACUGCACCUGAUGCUUUGUGGGGCAGCGGGAGCGGGAGCCCUUGGCCCCUGCAAUAUCUGUAUUGUAUGCAGUUCUAGUGGGGAAAGAAGCAGGUAUCUUAGUCUUUUCUUGGUAGUUGUUCUGGACCCCUGCCUACUCCGCCGCCCGUAGACUCUUCUGUCCCAGACAAGCAUAGUGUAUGGGAGGAGCUGUGCUAAGCUCCACGCCAGUUCCUACUGUUUUCCCCUAAGCUGCUUAACUUGAACCUGUGGUGCAGAUUCCUGAAGGCUUACAACAGGGUUCUGAUUCUCAACUCUCCCAUCUGCUUUUUUGCGGAGAUCUUCCCUAGUUUAAUAAAUUUGUUUACAGACCUUCUCUCUUGCAGGAUAAAAUUUUACUGCGUAUUAUUUCGACUGUGUUUUUCAUUGAGUUUUAGUGGUGAGACUUCUAACUCACCAUUGUAUUGAGAUGGCCCAUGUCCCUCAGUUAGGGUUUUGUUGCUGUGAAAAGACAUCAUGACCAAGACAACUGUUAUAAAGGAAAACAUUUAACUGGGGCUGGUUUGCAGUUUCAGAGGUUUAGUCCAUUAUUAUCAUGGCAGGAAGCAUGGCAGGCAGACAUGGUCCUGGGGAAGAAGCUGUGAGUUCUACAUCUUGAUCCACGCAGGCAGCAGAAGAAGAUUAUGUGUCACACUUAAGCAUAUAUGAGACCUCAAAGCGCACCUCCACAGUGACACACCUACUCCAACAAGGCCACGCCUCCUAAGAGUGCCUAAAGGCCAGGCAUUGAAACACAUGAGUCUUUGGGGGCCAUACCUAUUCACCACAUCCCAUUUCCCACUUUGGAUGGGUUUGUCACAGAGGUAAGGGUAGGGAUCAAGGAGCAGUAGCAUAUUCCACCAAAGGAAGUGCUGGGUUUCAGACUCAUUUGAAAACCUGCUUCCUUGUCUGCUUGCUAUUGCUCUUAGAUCCAGUUUGGCUGUUUCUUUUAAAUUGCGUUGGGUGAUGACUUCAGCCUCUGUAGUAAGGGUACAAGACUUUCUGAAGGCUUUGUUCUCAUCCAGCCCUUCCCCAGAGACCCCACUUCCUCACACCUACACGCUGAUGACCCCUUGUGAACUUUGCCUGGACACAAACAUUCAGCCCACUACAACAUACACUUUUGAAUAUGUACAAUAGUUACAUGUAAGUAUUAUACUUUUAACCAAGUUCCUCUUUUCCUUCUUCACCCUUUUGUUCUCUAAUAUUUUUAGUUAAAUUGUUUAAAAAUAAUUUCUGUUUAUAUCUUAUGGGUUUUCCAAGGCCUCACAUAGAGGCAAAUGCAUACUUGAACUUUUGCUCCCCUUCUUUGUUCGCACCAAGGUCUCACCUCAUUUUUCUUUUGAUGAGAUCUUAUAGAGCUCACUCUGAAUAAAACACUGGGCUCAACCUGGUUUUUAUUUCAUUUUCUCUUUUCUUGCUUUGUAUUUUUAGAUCAGGCUGGAUUUGAACCAACAGAGAUGUGCCCGCUUCUGCCUUCUGAGUGCUGGGACUAAAGAUAUAUGCCACCAUGCCUGGUUUCAUUGUGAUUUUAUCUGCCUGGUGUUUUGCUUUUAUAUGUAUCUGUGUGGCACUUGCAUGUCUGGUGCCAGUGGAGGCCAGGUCAGGUAGUAAGGUCCCCUGGAACUCAAGUUAAGGACAGUUGUAAGCUACCAUGUGGGUGCUGGGAAUCAAACUCAGAUCUUCUGGGUCUUAACCACUGAGCCAUCUUUCCAGUCCCAUCAGCCUAAUAUUUUUUAAAUAGUUGUCCAGUUUUCCAUUAUUAUAUUCCUCUUUAAUAGAUACUUCAAAAUCAUUUUCUUUUUAACAUCACUGGUAUACAUAAUGCUCUAAAGAGUAGUUUUGGUCAUGUGUUGAAGUAGAAGUUUCUGGUAUACAUAAUGCUCUAAAGAGUAGUUUUGGUCAUGUGUUGAAGUAGAAGUUUCUGGUAUACAUAAUGCUCUAAAGAGUAGUUUUGGUCAUGUGUUGAAGUAGAAGUUUCUGGAUAUGUCAUGUGAUGCAGACUACUGGUAUGUUCUGCUGUUACAGACUCACCUGGUGUCUUGCUAAGACAAGACUCCUGGGAGGACACUGAUGUUUGGAGAGAGUAUAAAUAGGACUCAACAGACAGUGACAGUGCACUUGCAUUGGUAGCUUGGCAACACUUUGUUGGUCUCCCAUCUUUGCUGAUCUUUACUUCUUUGAGAGAGGUCUGCAGAGAAAUCGUUCUGGCAUCCUGGCUGAUUCUGAUGCCUGGCUGUUUCUGCUGGAUCGUGCAACCACUGCUGAUUUGUUUUUGAUAUCCUGACACUACUGAUGGGGACUGCUGGUAUCCUGACAAACAGAGGUUGGAAUUGCCUCAAAGAACUAUUUCUAAACAGGUCCAUAUACCCUUGUCCUGUUUACCAUCUUUUCUUCCCUACCUUUGGAUGGUGGGCUAGAAGUGGGGGGGGGGGGUCAAAGCAUUUGAAGCCCGUUAUUUAAGGUAGAUUUUUUAAAAACCUAAGCCUACAAUGUGUUGUUUUUGUAUUUGCUUCAUUAAAGUUACAGAAGUGUGGUUUCUGGAC